UCGACCUCUCCAACUGUUGCCUUCUUGU
rnacentral:sRNA from 1 species